GUGAUAUGAAACAUCCGAUAAUUACGAAGAAUUUCACAAAUUUCAGCAGGCCGCAACCAACGAUGCUGGGCUUCAAAUUGAUUUUCAGCAAAUUGAAUUUGAAGA